AACACAGUGGGCGCUCAAUAAAUGUUUGUUGAAUUGAGAUGCGUUAAAUUCAACGGGUCUUUAUUGAGCAACCACUCUGUG
ensembl:miRNA